UAGGGAAUCUUCCGCAAUGGACGCAAGUCUGACGGAGCAACGCCGCGUGAGUGAAGAAGGAUUUCGGUUCGUAAAACUCUGUUGUUAGAGAAGAACAGCGCAUAGAGUAACUGUUAUGCGUGUGACGGUAUCUAACCAGAAAGCCACGGCUAACUACGUGCCAGCAGCCGCGGUAAUACGUAGGUGGCAAGCGUUGUCCGGAUUUAUUGGGCGUAAAGCGAGCGCAGGCGGUUAGAAAAGUCUGAAGUGAAAGGCAGUGGCUCAACCAUUGUAGGCUUUGGAAACUGGUUAACUUGAGUGCAGAAGGGGAGAGUGGAAUUCCAUGUGUAGCGGUGAAAUGCGUAGAUAUAUGGAGGAACACCGGUGGCGAAAGCGGCUCUCUGGUCUGUAACUGACGCUGAGGCUCGAAAGCGUGGGGAGCGAACAGG
rnacentral:rRNA from 1 species